GGGGCCCCGGACGCCCGCACAGUGCCCCCGGAUCGGCGGCCUUUUCCUUGCCCACCGCCGCCUCUUGCAGGCCCCGCCGCCUUUGUCUGCUUCCCGGAGCCGCCGAGCUGAAUGGGCGGCGGAGGACGCGGGCCCCGGCGCGGCCGGUGUGUCCCGGCUGCGAGGGCCACGGCAGCCACGAGUUGCCAAGGUCACGGAGGCUUCGGGGAGCCGUGAGGCCGCUGCUGAGCACCCACACCUGGCCCUCGGCCCCUUGCAAGAAGUUCAAGUGGGCCGAUGGGGUCCAGUGUCCACCAGUGAGAAAGAGCAGCGCACUUUGUGCGAUCCCUGCGAGCCCGCUUGUGUGAUUACCCUCUGUUAAAAGGAUAAAAAGGCAACCUGACAGGUCAUCCUGUGGGAUCUUUCAGACUUGAAUACAGCAGAGAUACACCAGCAGACAAGAGCCACUACACUUGUUUGCACUGUUCAGCCUCAGGAAAGAUAAAAGUCCCAGUGUCACGGCUCUUCCCCAGGUUGCUGGAUUGUUGGCAUGUCCCGGAGACGUGGAUGUGCUACACACAUUGGCUGUGCCCUGUGCGUAGUCAAGUGCUCUGAAAGAAACCCAGGCAACUUCCUUGUCCUGCCUGGCUCAGGAAAUGUGGACUCAGAAUAAUGAGGAGUGAGCAGGACACUGGGGUGUGUGGAGAGAAAAGAGGGCUGACCAACAUGGCCUGCAAAGAUGGUGCAGCACCACUGGACUGCUUUGCUUGCUGUGGCAGGAAUGCAAACUGGUGAUGGAUUUUGAUCUGACUGCAUUACUUUUGCCACCUUCCUGGACUCCCCAAGCAUGACACUAGCACAAGGAUUUUGACUAUAACAAAGCGGGUGAGUUAACCAAGUAUUGCUUCACAAGAAAGAAAAGCAAAAUAAAAUUAAAUUAAGUAAUUCUCACUUGCACUUUGCCCUAACUGACAGCAUCUAAACCUAUGACAAUGACAUGGCUGCUGCUGCUGCUGGCAGCACAGGUGACAACAUUGUGUGGGGGUGGAGGAAUCGGGCUCAGUGAAUGCGUGGUAGGUAUCUGUGUGCAGUCAGUUAUCUCUUAUGCAAUUGCAAUGCAUAUUACCACCUGAGCUACUCCAUUUUUAUUCAUUUGUCUGGCACAACCUCCCUGCUUGAGGAAAUGCUGUUUAUACAGAUAAGGUCUAUGGAGCUACCCCUCUAGAGCUCCCAUGAGUUGACUAGGAAGUUGCACUUGAUGAAGCAUGUCCUUAGGGUGCCAUUGACACUCUUUCUUGGGUGGCACAAUUCAGCUUUUCACACUCCACAGGAGCAUUCAGGCAUUGUCCAGCUGUUGCCACACAUUUAGACAGGCUACCUACCAUACAGUGAUGUAUGACAGAGAUAAGUCAUUUUAAUGACAUGUGAGAGCAAACUUUGGAGAUUUUUUUCAUCUUAUGAUGUCUUUCUGGGAGAAGAGUUGCUGCUGAGAAGAAAUCAUUGUUAUCCCAGCAAGAAUACUUACCUAGCACAAACUAUUUCUCCAGUAGAGAAAGGUUUUUGUAGCCUCUCCGAAUUUUUAAUAUAGCUGCAGUUUUUGCUUUUAAUAUAACAAGGCUUCCUAAAGUGCAGGUUCUGAGUCAUUGCAAAUGUCAAAUAUAAAAUAAUUAAUAACAAAAUUGACUCCCAAAUUAACCCAAUGAAAAAUCUAGUGGUCCAGAAAUACUCUCAUUAGUCAUUCUUUAGACCAGUACUGCCAAUCCUAGAAAUCAAAAGUCAUGAAUUACACCUGCUCCCCACCUAAACCGUGGUUUAAAGAUCAGAAGUCACAUUUUUGUGGUUAAAUCAAUCUGAACUAUUUUGUUCUCCUUGUGGUAACUUGAGACUGUAUCUCAUCCUUGGAUCAUGUUUUUAAUUAUGCUUUAAAGUCCCCAUAACAACUGCAGAUCUCCUGUUUAAAAAAAGCCAAGAUUCUCCUACAUCUGAGGCCACUGUGGUUAAAGAAACAAAUUUUGUUACUCUGCUAAAAGUGCAGGUGUUGGCCACCAUGAAUACAGCUGUUUCAAAGACAGAUGACAUUCUAUGGAAUCAAGUAAUACACUGGACUGAUUGUGAAAUUUUAUCUUCACAUACCUUUGAUUUACUUUUUUGGUUCUUAGAGCAUCUUGACACAUAAAUACUUUUUUUUUCCCCCUCUGCAUUUAGGAUUUUGCAUCUUAAAUAUUGUUUCUACUGGUGUGCUUCAGGGACAAUUUUAAGUUUUUGGUAUGCCACAAUCCACCAGGACUAAAAAUGCAGCCAAAUUUUCUGAUACAAAAGCAGAAAACUUAGCCCAAGGGCUUUAUAAAAAGGCCAUAGGAAAUUCCCAGAUAAGAAAAAAAAGAAACAUCACAACAAGUUUAAUGUAGAACAGACACUUUACAUGUUCUCAUAGUUGAAGCCUGCACAAUGGGACAGUUGUGAGUUAAAGGUUUGGCUCUCUAAUCAUAAAAAGAAAUUUAAAAAUACAAUAGAGAGCCAUAAGUCCUUGCAGUGAAGCACUUCCAGAUUUCCUGUAUCAUUUUUCUUCAGGGAUUUCCUUGACAAGGUCUAUCAUCCUGUCUUACCCUGGGAUUUCCAUGAUCUUUAAGCACUAUCCUUAGAGACACUACCCAUGUAAUUUUGGCUACAUCCACACUGGGAGGGGAAGAGGGCUUGGGAACACCAAAACCAUGUCCUCUUGAAUCCCAACCAGGCUGGUGUCAGCUGAAGGCAGGGUACAACAAGCCUGUCCCAGGCUGUAGGGACAGGCAGGCAAGGCAGGUUGAACCCCCCAUGCCCAGCAUCCAUAGGCUCUCUCUGCCUCCACGAGGCUCUGGGGCACCAGAGCAGUCCUGAACUGCCACUUACUGCAACAACAGCAUCACCCUUGGCUUUCCAGGGCUAUCCCUCCAUAAAAAAAGUCACCUAGCUUUAGUUAUACCAGUGUUGUUGUUGUUGCCUCAUAUAGAAACAUUGUGGGCAUGCCAAAGGGUGCUUUAUGCAGCAUUGCCUGGGGAGAAUGGGGAUGCUCAUACAACUCCCUGUUGCUUUAGCUCUGUUGGAAAAGCACUGUACUUCAGCAGCAAACCUGUGUAGACACAAAACCUGUGUGUAUGCUAUGCCUAAAUUGGGGAGUAGGGAAAUGGAUCUGCACAUCUACAUGUGUGAAGUAAGUUCUUAUCACCAGCUGCCUGCAAGCCAAGCUCAUCCCCCUCACACAUGAAGGCCCCAGUUUUGCCCUGUGGUUUCCACAAACACCCUCCUUCCCUUUGACUCUGUUUCUUGCUGUUGCUCAAACAGGAACUGCUGUGCAUUCACAGCCUUUAGCAGGUGAUGCUCUAAUCUCCCUUUGGCAUCUCCCUGCCAGCUGCCAGUGCAGCCAUGUAUACAUCUGAGAGGAAAUUUUCUAGGACAGCACCAUGAGGCAAAAUGCUUUCCCUAUUUGUUUUCUCUGUCCUUUCAUCUUAUCUCCUCCUGCCCUCCUCCCCCAAGCCUUUUUUUAUAUCCUCCUCCCCUUUUGCUGUACUCUGAGUGCAAAACCAAAUUGAUACUUGUUCCUGGUGCUGGGACCCUUAUGUAGGUCAACCCCUGUGAGUCAUGAGUGUGGUCUGCAGUUGACCUGCAGCUGCUUCAUGAUGCAGAAGGGUAAUCGGGCUUAUAAUUUCUUGUGCCACUUGCCCUUGCCUUUCUUCUUCUACUUC